AUGGAAGACUAAUUUAUUUCUUCUAUUCUGUUUUUCAUUUCUAAUUUUCUGCAGUUGGUGGUUAUUGUGUUAUUGGUUCUAUAUAUCAAGCUAUUGUGAAUGGCCUUUCUCCAAAAUAGAUUAUUUGAAUUAAUAGGAACAAUGAUUUCAUAGUACUGGUUAUGUUUCACCAUAAACAAAAAUGUGUAGCAAUCCUGAUGAUACCACUAUUCAUAAUGUUCUUAGUUUUUGCAGCCUUCACUGUUCCAAGUUCAACGACUGAUUGUAUUUGAAAUACCACAUAGGCUACAUUAGCAUCUGCAUCUCCAUAGAUUAUUUUUUGUGUGUGGUAAUAUGUAACCUGAAUAUUAGCAAUUCAGUGGAUUUGACUUCAAGAUUUGUGUUUCUGUGCAGCUGACCUUGCCUCUGAUAACGAUGUAGCGAAUACUGGUGAAGAUGAUGGGAGUAGUGAUGACGAAGGAAUGCUCUAUCUUCCCGACUUGGAGAAGGUCAGAGGAAACUAGCAGGAGAUUGAAUACUAACAAGUAAACACGAAAAUGUAGCCUCUGUGAAACCGAUUUACUUAAACUAGGUAUGCUUAGUUUCAGACAUUGUGGAGUCAUUGUCCUCAUCAUUACUGUACAUGGUAUAGCUUAGCUUUGAAUAUUUGGAGGUUCAGUUACCUUCUUGGCUGCCUAACACAAUCUCCGAUUAACUGAAUGUACUUUUGAGUAUGCUGGGGGCCAGUUAUUUGAAGUUUGAUAUGCUAUGAUGCAUAAUGGGCCUAGAAAUUACAAUAAGAAUUGUUUGGGUUGGUUUGAACUUUCUCAAUACUAUCCCCAUUUUGGUUUUGUAUGUAUUAUCUGCAUCGACCAACCGAUUUGUGACU